GUCUAUGGGCAUACCACCCUGAACAUGCCCGAUCUUGUCUGAUCUCGGAAGCUAGGCAGGGUCGGGCCUGGUUAGUACUUGGAUGGGAGAUGGGAAUACCGGACCACCUUACCU
rnacentral:rRNA from 1 species